rnacentral:tRNA from 1 species
CAUUAGAUAACUAAAAGUUAGUUCUGGUCUCUUAAACCAUUUUAUAGUAGAGUAACGCCUACUUCUAAUG